CCUACGGGGGGCAGCAGUGGGGAAUAUUGGACAAUGGGCGAAAGCCUGAUCCAGCCAUGCCGCGUGUGUGAAGAAGGCCUUCGGGUUGUAAAGCACUUUCAGUGGGGAAGAAAGUCUUGGGGCUAAUACCCUCGAGGAAGGACAUUACCCACAGAAGAAGCACCGGCUAACUCCGUGCCAGCAGCCGCGGUAAUACGGAGGGUGCGAGCGUUAAUCGGAAUUACUGGGCGUAAAGCGCGCGUAGGCGGUCUGAUAAGCCGGUUGUGAAAGCCCCGGGCUCAACCUGGGAACGGCAUCCGGAACUGUCAGGCUAGAGUGCAGGAGAGGAAGGUAGAAUUCCCGGUGUAGCGGUGAAAUGCGUAGAGAUCGGGAGGAAUACCAGUGGCGAAGGCGGCCUUCUGGACUGACACUGACGCUGAGGUGCGAAAGCGUGGGUAGCAAACAGGAUUAGAUACCCUGGUAGUC
rnacentral:rRNA from 1 species